CAGGAUUUAGGUCUUCACGCAAGAACUUGGGAGAGUGCCUUUUUUCAACACAGUAUCUUAGGAUUUAGCUCUCCAGACAAGAAUGUGGGACCUGGGUGAAUGUCUUGUUUUAGCACACAGAACCUCAAGUUUUUCUUCUCCACACAAGAACCUAGGAUAGUAUCUCUCUUCUCUACACAACACCUCAAGUCUUAGUUCUCCUCUCAACAACCUAAGAACCUGGGUGAAUGUCUUGUUUUAGCACACAGCACCUCAAGAUUUUGUCCUCUACACAAGAACCAAGGCUAAUGUCUUUUUCACAACAAUGGACCUCAAGUUUUAAUUCUCCACACAAGAACCUGGGAUAGUGUCUUUUUUUCAUCAUAAAGUACCUCAUGUUUUAAUUCUCCAACCAGGAAACUGAGUGAAAGUCUUGUUUUACCAAAUAGAACCUCAAGUUUUUUCUUCUCCACACAAGAACCUAGGAUAGUAUCUCUCUUCUCUACACAACACCUCAAGUCUUAGUUCUCCACUCAACAACCUGGAAACUGGGUGAAUGUCUUGUUUUAGCACACAGAACCUCAAGUUUUUCUUCUCCACACAAGAACCUAGGAUAGUAUCUCUCUUCUCUACACAACACCUCAAGUCUUAGUUCUCCUCUCAACAA